UUUUGAAGGCCUGUAGUCACACCUACAUCGCCUGAUUGCAACACAGACACUUUAAUUAAGCUAAGGCCUC
rnacentral:tRNA from 1 species